rnacentral:rRNA from 1 species
AUUGAACGCUGGCGGCAUGCUUUACACAUGCAAGUCGAACGGUAACAGGCCUUCGGGUGCUGACGAGUGGCGAACGGGUGAGUAAUGCAUCGGAACGUACCCAGAGGUGGGGGAUAACGCAGCGAAAGCUGUGCUAAUACUGCAUGUGAUCUGAGGAUGAAAGCGGGGGACCGAGCAGCAAUGUUUGGCCUCGCGCCUUUGGAGCGGCCGAUGUCGGAUUAGCUAGUUGGUGGGGUAAAGGCCUACCAAGGCGACGAUCCGUAGCUGGUCUGAGAGGACGACCAGCCACACUGGGACUGAGACACGGCCCAGACUCCUACGGGAGGCAGCAGUGGGGAAUUUUGGACAAUGGGCGCAAGCCUGAUCCAGCAAUGCCGCGUGCGGGAAGAAGGCCUUCGGGUUGUAAACCGCUUUUGGCAGGAACGAAACGGUAUCCGCUAAUACCGGGCGCUAAUGACGGUACCUGCAGAAUAAGCACCGGCUAACUACGUG